UACGGAGAUGGCAAGCGUUGUUCGGAAUUACUGGGCAUAAAGGGCGCGUAGGCUGUUCCGCAAGUCAGAUGUGAAAUCCCCCGGCUCAACCGAGGAAUUGCGUUUGAAACUGCGGGGCUGGAGUACAGGAGGGGAGAGUGGAAUUCCUGGUGGAGCGGUGAAAUGCGUAGAUAUCAGGAAGAACGCCGGAGGCGAAAGCGACUCUCUGGCCUGUUACUGACGCUGAGGCGCGAAAGCCAAGGGAGCGAACAGGAUUAGAUACCCCGGUA
rnacentral:rRNA from 1 species